rnacentral:rRNA from 1 species
GCUUACGGCCACACCGCCUGGUUCACGGAUCUCGUUUGAUCUCGGAAGCUAAGGUAGGUUGGGCCUGGUUAGUACUUGGAUGGGAGACCGCCUGGGAAUACCAGGUGCUGUAAGCU